rnacentral:lncRNA from 1 species
UUUAGAAACAAACUUUAUUGUUAUAUCCUCUAUCAAGCAGAUGUCAGUAUUUUAACGGAAGUUGUAACAUAAUUGAGUUGUGCAUAUCUUACUCUUUGUGUAUUCUCAAGUUUUCAGAGAUAAAGCAGGGUUAGUCCUGAUUCAUCUUAUAUGGGAGAUAUACAAAAAAAUUAACAGCUGACAUUUACUUGGAGUAUAUUUGAGGUUAAAAAAACUAGACAAAAGAAAUAGAGCAAAUUAGGAGUAAAAUAAAAUAUGAUUAGUAGAGGAAAAAUAAAUAAAACCAAUUUCAUUUAGGUGGAACCACCAUAACAUGACAGUGUCAACAUUUGAUAGGUGCUAAAGAAGAGAAAACCAAAAAUGUUUCUCUGCCACUUUAAGGAAGAGGAAAAAAAGUAAAAAUAUUGUACAGUCAGCAGAGUAAAACUAUCAAAAGAAAGAGCCACCUGUCACAUGACUGGUAGUAAGUAUGGCUCAUUGCAAUCCAGAGAGCAGGAUGCACUGAGGAUAAACCAGUGACAGAUACCUGCUAUGCUUGUGUGGUAUGGGGAGGGACUGUGCAAGGAAGGAGAGUAAGGCUUGGCCCAAAGGGCCCAAUGUUCAUCAUCUCCUGACCUGUCUAUUUUCCCUGCUCCCAAGCUGUAGAUGUAGUUAGGGGACACCUCAAUGGCAUUAGUUAGAUCCAGUAUCAAUUCAUGUCCUCCCCAACUUCCAUUUCUGCUGCCUGGCUCUAAGUGUGCUCUUGGUCCUUGAAUCCUGAGCACAUCAACUCAGUGGUAUACGAAGGACCUUGAUUCCUCCCUGCACUGCCUGGUCUCAGAGGACCGUGCACUCUUGGAGCUUAUUCUCAAUGCUGUCUGUGCUGAGCCUUCCUCUUCCUUACUGACCUUCCAGCUUUCACUUCUGUCCCAGAUUCAGACAUUUAUCUCCAGAUUGAGUCUUCCCCCCCAGGGAGCUGGGCUAAAGUCUCUUGCUUCCUCUAGGAACUCACUUUUAUUGUUUUAAAAGAUCAUUCUUCAGCCACUCAACAUAAUAUGAUAUUGUAAUUGCUGAGCCUAUUUCUUGAACACUUAAUCCUGUUGCUGCAAACACUUCUUUAUUUUCCUUCAAUCAUAGCGUCAGUCCCUGUGUCCAAAGCAUGGAUAGCACUCUCUCUUUUCUAUUCCCAUCUUAGCUUCUUUCUUGGCUCAUUUUUUUUUUCUAUUCUUUACUGGACCCUUUCUAUUUUCUAGAGCAAUAUUAACCAACCAGAAAUCAUUGUUUUUCUUGGCAGCCCUUUUCUCUGUCCUUUAAUCCCAACUCAAGCCUCAUUAUUUCUUUCCUGCCCUUUCAGUUUUCUUAAGCAAGACGUCCACAAACCACACAUUAAAUGGCUCAUUGGUUCAUAAAAGCUCAAUUACUGACCUCUGUUGUUUGGAUUUGGAAGGCAUUGUGGGGAUUCUGUUUGGGCACACAGAUUUUCAGUCAUGUGACUUUAAUUGUGGCAUUUGUCCUGUGACAUUUGGAGAAUGAGUUAUGACAGGGAAACCCAGG